rnacentral:lncRNA from 1 species
UGUGGCUUCAUCUAUUUAAACAAUUCGUUACAAAAUGUCAACCAUGAGGUAUUAUUCGGCAAUUGCAACGUUGAAAGAAAUUACUUCUGCAAGGAUGCAGCAAACAAAUUGGUUGUCAAUCAAAGUACAUGGCAGAACAUAAAAUUUGACUGUAAAAACCCUGUUUACAAUUUGCAUAAUGUUAAGUCAGGCUUUUACUGGACAAUAAAUACAACAGACGUCGUUGUUGUUACAGAAAAAGAGCCAACGUUACCAACAUCUAGAUCAGUCUUAUGUGGUGCAUACACGCCGAAUAUUGGACACUAUUUUACAAACUGCGAAACAAAACGCGCUUCUUUAUGCCAGUGU